rnacentral:rRNA from 1 species
UACGUAGGUGGCGAGCGUUAUCCGGAAUGAUUGGGCGUAAAGGGAGCGUAGACGGUACGCCAAGUCUGAAGUGAAAUGCCGCAGCUUAACUGCGGAACUGCUUUGGAAACUGGCGGGCUGGAGUGCGGGAGGGGUAAGCGGAAUUCCUAGUGUAGCGGUGAAAUGCGUAGAUAUUAGGAGGAACACCGGUGGCGAAGGCGGCUUCCUGGUCUGCAACUGACACUGAGGCGCGAAAGCGUGGGGAGCAAACAGG